ACUUUUAGAGGAUGGUAGAUAUCCAUUGGUCUUAGGAAUCAAAGAAUUGGUGCAACUCCAAAUAAAAGUA
rnacentral:tRNA from 1 species